AGUCGAGCGAGCUUGCCUAGAUGAUUUUAGUGCUUGCACUAAAUGAAACUAGAUACAAGCGAGCGGCGGACGGGUGAGUAACACGUGGGUAACCUGCCCAAGAGACUGGGAUAACACCUGGAAACAGAUGCUAAUACCGGAUAACAACACUAGACGCAUGUCUAGAGUUUGAAAGAUGGUUCUGCUAUCACUCUUGGAUGGACCUGCGGUGCAUUAGCUAGUUGGUAAGGUAACGGCUUACCAAGGCAAUGAUGCAUAGCCGAGUUGAGAGACUGAUCGGCCACAUUGGGGCUGAGACACGGCCCAAACUCCUACGGGAGGCAGCAGUAGGGAAUCUUCCACAAUGGACGAAAGUCUGAUGGAGCAACGCCGCGUGAGUGAAGAAGGGUUUCGGCUCGUAAAGCUCUGUUGGUAGUGAAGAAAGAUAGAGGUAGUAACUGGCCUUUAUUUGACGGUAAUUACUUAGAAAGUCACGGCUAACUACGUGCCAGCAGCCGCGGUAAUACGUAGGUGGCAAGCGUUGUCCGGAUUUAUUGGGCGUAAAGCGAGUGCAGGCGGUUCAAUAAGUCUGAUGUGAAAGCCUUCGGCUCAACCGGAGAAUUGCAUCAGAAACUGUUGAACUUGAGUGCAGAAGAGGAGAGUGGAACUCCAUGUGUAGCGGUGGAAUGCGUAGAUAUAUGGAAGAACACCAGUGGCGAAGGCGGCUCUCUGGUCUGCAACUGACGCUGAGGCUCNGAAGCAUGGGUAGCGAACANG
rnacentral:rRNA from 1 species